UACACUCGCGCCGCCAAAGGUGCCUGAUCGAUUCGAUCGGGUGAAACGGGAAGCCGGUGCGUUGUUCUUGCGAUCGAUCCUGAUCACGAGAAUCAAGAAGCGACCAUCCGUGGUCGCACUCCUUGAUUCAACAAUUCCGGCGCUGCCCCCGCAACGGUAGGCAAGCCAAGCCUGAUCGAUGACCACUGUGCCUUGCACGGGAAGGUGAUCAGGCCGAUGCAUCCGCAUCGCUUGCAAGCCCGGAGACCGGCCUUGGGCCGACGUCGAUG
rnacentral:ncRNA from 2 species